rnacentral:misc_RNA from 1 species
GUUUAGACUGCUUGGCGACGCCAUGAGUCCUAUUCAGAAUUUUGAGCAACAUUCUAGCCAUUUAGCGGAGCUUGACCUCCGUACGCUCUAUCCGUCUCUCUCAUUUUGUCAUUUUUUCUGUUUGUUUAACAAGAAAUUGGAGGAAGUGAGAAGAGAAUAAAUGUAAUGUACACUUCGCGUAUUUUGUUUAGCAAAUUUUCUUCAACUAAUAUCAAAAU